rnacentral:tRNA from 2 species
GCUCGCUUAGCUUAGUCGGUAGAGCGUGGUGCUAAUAACGCCAAGGUCACAGGUUCGAUCCCUGUAGUGAGCA